rnacentral:rRNA from 1 species
CCUACGGGAGGCAGCAGUGGGGAAUUUUGGACAAUGGGGGCAACCCUGAUCCAGCCAUGCCGCGUGAGUGAAGAAGGCCUUCGGGUUGUAAAGCUCUUUCGGCCGGAACGAAAUCGCGCACGUGAAUAACGUGCGUGGAUGACGGUACCGGAGUAAGAAGCACCGGCUAACUACGUGCCAGCAGCCGCGGUAAUACGUAGGGUGCGAGCGUUAAUCGGAAUUACUGGGCGUAAAGCGUGCGCAGGCGGUUCGCUAAGUCAGACGUGAAAGCCCCGGGCUUAACCUGGGAACGGCGUUUGAAACUGGCGGGCUCGAGUACGGCAGAGGGGGGUGGAAUUCCACGUGUAGCAGUGAAAUGCGUAGAUAUGUGGAGGAACACCGAUGGCGAAGGCAGCCCCCUGGGCCGAUACUGACGCUCAUGCACGAAAGCGUGGGGAGCAAACAGGAUUAGAUACCCUGGUAGUCCACGCCCUAAACUAUGUCAACUAGUUGUCGGGGAAGCAAUUCCUUGGUAACGCAGCUAACGCGUGAAGUUGACCGCCUGGGGAGUACGGUCGCAAGAUUAAAACUUAAAUGAAUUGACGG